CUGGUGCUGAUUCAGCUAAGGCUCUGUUCACAGCAGGUCUGAUGCACAAGUCAGAUUUUUUGGUCAAAUGUGAUUUGUUUGUGUGUUGGUUCAUAUUCCACAUUAAAUGCGACUUCUAUCAGUUUUGAGUCUGAACUGAAUGUGACCCUGAAGUGACCCACAUGGACUAAAGAG